UACGGGAGGCAGUGGGGAAUAUUGCACAAUGGGCGCAAGCCUGAUGCAGCCAUGCCGCGUGUAUGAAGAAGGCCUUCGGGUUGUAAAGUACUUUCAGUCGUGAGGAAGGUGUUAAGGUUAAUAACCUUAGCAAUUGACGUUAGCGACAGAAGAAGCACCGGCUAACUCCGUGCCAGCAGCCGCGGUAAUACGGAGGGUGCGAGCGUUAAUCGGAAUUACUGGGCGUAAAGGGCACGCAGGCGGUUAAUUAAGUUGGAUGUGAAAUCCCCGGGCUUAACCUGGGAAUGGCAUUCAAGACUGGUUAGCUAGAGUCUUGUAGAGGGGGUAGAAUUCCAUGUGUAGCGGUGAAAUGCGUAGAGAUGUGGAGGAUACCGGUGGCGAAGGCGGCCCCUGGACAAAGACUGACGCUCAUGUGCGAAAGCGUGGGGAGCAAACAGGGAUUAGAUACC
rnacentral:rRNA from 1 species